AUUGAACGCUGGCGGCAUGCCUUACACAUGCAAGUCGAACGGCAGCGCGGGCUUCGGCCUGGCGGCGAGUGGCGAACGGGUGAGUAAUGUAUCGGAACGUGCCCUAGAGUGGGGGAUAACUAGUAGAAAGAUUGGCUAAUACCGCAUACGACCUAAGGAUGAAAGCGGGGGAUCGCAAGACCUCGUGCUCAUGGAGCGGCCGAUAUCUGAUUAGCUAGUUGGUGGGGUAAAGGCCUACCAAGGCGACGAUCAGUAGCUGGUCUGAGAGGACGACCAGCCACACUGGGACUGAGACACGGCCCAGACUCCUACGGGAGGCAGCAGUGGGGAAUUUUGGACAAUGGGGGCAACCCUGAUCCAGCAAUGCCGCGUGUGUGAAGAAGGCCUUCGGGUUGUAAAGCACUUUUGUCCGGAAAGAAAUUGCCUGAGCUAAUACCUUGGGUAGAUGACGGUACCGGAAGAAUAAGCACCGGCUAACUACGUGCCAGCAGCCGCAGUAA
rnacentral:rRNA from 1 species